rnacentral:rRNA from 1 species
GAACGGGCGUAGCAAUACGUCAGUGGCAGACGGGUGAGUAACGCGUGGGAACGUACCUUUUGGUUCGGAACAACCCAGGGAAACUUGGGCUAAUACCGGAUAAGCCCUUACGGGGAAAGAUUUAUCGCCGAAAGAUCGGCCCGCGUCUGAUUAGCUUGUUGGUGAGGUAACGGCUCACCAAGGCGACGAUCAGUAGCUGGUCUGAGAGGAUGAUCAGCCACAUUGGGACUGAGACACGGCCCAAACUCCUACGGGAGGCAGCAGUGGGGAAUAUUGGACAAUGGGCGCAAGCCUGAUCCAGCCAUGCCGCGUGAGUGAUGAAGGCCCUAGGGUUGUAAAGCUCUUUUGUGCGGGAAGAUAAUGACGGUACCGCAAGAAUAAGCCCCG